AGUUGUUGCCACUAGGCUUAGGCGGAUAGCCUCGCAGAGGAGCCUAGGUGGGGAGGGGGACGAAGAAGUAACGUUUGGGACUGUGGGAUGUUGAAAUGGUCUCUUCGGAGGCUGCCGGGAUUGAAACUGGGCAAGGUCCCAGGGCCCGAGUAGAGCCGGAGCGUGCUACGCGGCGAUCCCUGAGCCACGGGGUUUUCAGCGCCCGGGAAGCCAGGCUUGCCAGGCUCUGGAGGCCACCAAGAGCCUGCUAGUGUGCAACAGCCGCAUCCUCAGCUACAUGGGCGAGCUGCAGCGGCGCAAGGAGGCGCAGGUGCUGGGGAAGACAAGCCGGCGGCCUUCUGACAGUGGCCCACCCGCUGAGCGCUCCCCCUGCCGCGGCCAGGUCUGCAUCUCUGACCUCCGGAUUCCACUCAUGUGGAAGGACACAGAAUAUUUCAAGAACAAAGGUGACUUGCACCGCUGGGCUGUGUUCCUGCUGCUGCAGCUGGGGGAACACAUCCAGGACACAGAGAUGAUCCUGGUGGACAGGACCCUCACAGACAUCUCCUUUCAGAGCAAUGUGCU
rnacentral:sRNA from 1 species